UCAAUGACUGGUCUAACUUGAGGCCCAAGC
rnacentral:piRNA from 1 species